GAUGAAGAACGUAGCGAAAUGCGAUAACUAAUGUGAAUUGCAGAAUUCAGUGAAUCAUCGAGUCUUUGAACGCGCAUUGCGCCCUCUGGUAUUCCGGAGGGCAUGCCUGUCCGAGCGUCAUUGCUGCCCUCCAGCCCGGCUGGUGUGUUGGGCCCCGUCCCCCUUCCCGGGGGGACGGGCCCGAAAGGCAGCGGCGGCACCGCGUCCGGUCCUCGAGCGUAUGGGGCUUUGUCACCCGCUCUUGUAGGCCCGGCCGGCGCCAGCCGACCCCCUCAAUCUAUUUUUGAGGUUGACCUCGGAUCAGGUAGGGAUACCCGCUGAACUUAAGCAUAUCAAUAAGCGGAGGA
rnacentral:misc_RNA from 1 species